rnacentral:rRNA from 1 species
UGGGGAAUUUUCCGCAAUGGGCGAAAGCCUGACGGAGCAAUACCGCGUGAGGGAGGAAGGCUCUUGGGUUGUAAACCUCUUUUCUCAGGGAAGAAUCCUGACGGUACCUGAGGAAUCAGCAUCGGCUAACUCCGUGCCAGCAGCCGCGGUAAUACGGAGGAUGCGAGCGUUGUCCGGAAUUAUUGGGCGUAAAGAGCGUGUAGGCGGCUUGGUAAGUCUGUCGUGAAAUGCUGGGGCUCAACCCUGGUCGUGCGAUGGAUACUGCUAGGCUAGAGGAUGGUAGAGGCGAGUGGAAUUCCCGGUGUAGCGGGGAAAUGCGCAGAUAUCGGGAGGAACACCAGUAGCGAAGGCGGCUCGCUGGGCCAUUCCUGACGCUGAGACGCGAAAGCGUGGGGAGCAAACAGGAUUAGAUACCCCCGUAGUCC